rnacentral:sRNA from 1 species
GACUAUUGGUUUGGGGAACAACAUUUUGUGUCGUAUUACGAUACAGAAACAAAGAACCUCAGAAGAUUUGAUAUUGAAGGAAUGGUUGAUCAAGAUGAU